UGAGAGGUUGAACAGCCGCAAUGGGAUUGAGAUAUGGCCCAUAUUCCUACGGGAAGCAACAGUGAGGAAUUUUUCACAAUGGACGAAAGUCUGAUGGAGCAAUACCACGUGAACGAUGAAGGUCUUCUGAUUGUAAAGUUCUUUUAUUUAGGAAAAAA
rnacentral:rRNA from 1 species